CAGCAGGCACAGAGCGGCGCCCGGCUAGCAGGAGCAGCCGCAGCGGCAACAGGCGCGCCUCAGCUCCGCGGGGAAAGAGACUGAAUUUACUGGCACACAUCAAAGAAGCAGCUUUCUGUCUGCCCAGCCAAAGUGGGACUCAGACUUUGGCAUUCAUUCUCAGGACUGGAAAGGCUCCAUUCUGCAUUUUAAACACUAGCUGAUCCAAAGAAAGGGCCGGAAGUCUUCUGAGGCAGACUUGUGCUGUCUCCUGCUGUGGCCUUCGCUCAACACCCCCCCCCC